rnacentral:rRNA from 1 species
AGCAGCCGCGGUAAUUCCAGCUCCAAUAGCGUAUAUUAAAGUUGUUGCAGUUAAAAGCUCGUAGUUGAACUUCGGGGUUUACCCAUUGGUCAGGCUUAAUUGUCUGUACUGGUGAGAUGAAUCUCUACCUUCUGAGGAACUUUCAUGCCAUUUAUUUGGUGUGAUGGGAAAUCAGGACUGUUACUUUGAAAAAAUUAGAGUGUUUAAAGCAGGCUAACGUCUGAAUACAUUAGCAUGGAAUAAUGAAAUAGGACGGACUGAUUCUAUUUCGUUGGUUUCUAGGAUCACCGUAAUGAUUAAUAGGGAUAGUUGGGGGCAUUAGUAUUCAAUUGUCAGAGGUGAAAUUCUUGGAUUUAUUGAAGACUAACUACUGCGAAAGCAUUUGCCAAGGAUGUUUUCAUUAAUCAAGAACGAAAGUUAGGGGAUCGAAGACGAUCAGAUACCGUCGUAGUCUUAACCAUAAACUAUGCCGACUAGGGAUCGGACGAAGUUAAUUUUAUAAUGACGCGUUCGGCACCUU